ensembl:lncRNA
ACCUUCAACAGCUCACAUACAGAGCUUCUGCCUCAAAGGACCACUCAUUGAAGCAGAAAUAAAAAAGGAAUAUAAAGACAGGGGAGUGAUCAGAAGACGAAUAGUGGGUCAGACUUUGUUUCAGGUUUGAUUGUAUAUUUACGUAUUUGUCUAAAUUGACAGGAUUGACUAUCAGAAACAGGGAAUAUAGGCCUAUAUGACAACUUAGCGAAGUAUUUUUAUUAUGUAAUUCUAUUGACACUAAAGGACUAGGGUGGGGAUUCAGUACAAGACUCGAGUGUAAAUUGCCUUUAAAUUACCUUUACUGUAAAUGAUCAACUCAACUACCUUGCUAUGCAAUUGGGAAAAUGCAAUGUUAAUAAAAUGUUAGUGUUAUUACAGCGGCAUAAGUGUUAACAGUAAUAUUAACAAAACUAAAUAUAAGACUAAGUAUCUACGGGAAUAUCUAAACACGGCCUUGUUGAAUCGACUACAGCCAAGGUACCAGUAGGUGGAAAAUAAUGUUAAUUUGUAUUUGAUGAAAAUAUCCCUUUAGUUGGUAUGAUGUGUAUGUUUGAAACUUAUUUGUAUUUGAGCUCAAGCAGUAGAAAAUGUUAAGUGCCGGUACUCAGCUCUGGUGAGCUCCUACACAAGUCAAGCACUGUGAAUUUUGACAGUGGAACUACAUUUUACAUUUUGGAUAUACAGUGCCUCUAGAAAGUCUACAACCCCCUUGGAUUUAUUCAAAUUUGAUUGCGUUACAAAGUGGGAUUAAAAUGGAUUUGAUUGCCAUUUUUUUGUCAAUGAGCCACACUAAAUAUUCUGUAAAGACAAAGUGGAAAAAUUCUAACAUUUUUUGAAGAUUCAUGAAAAUGUUAUAACUAAAAUAUAGUAGUUUCAUAAGAGGGGCUAGAUACAUAAAAUGCUUUUAUUUCUAAAUGGAAAAACAGAUACAGUGCAUUCAGAAAGUAUUCAGACCCCUUGACUUUUCCACAUUUUGUUACAUUACAUCCUUAUUCUAAAUUGAUAAAAAAAAAUUAUUUACUGUGUGUAGAUUGAUGAGGGAAAAAACCCAUUUAAUCCAUUUUAGAAUAAUACCCCAUAAUGACAAAGCAAAAACAGUUGUUUUUUUGUGUGCAAAUGUAUUAAAAAUAAAUAACGGAAAUAUCACAUUUACAUAUGUACUCAGACCGUUUACUCAGUACUUUGUUAAACUACCGCCUCAAGUCUUCUUGAGUAUGACGCUACAAGCUUGGCACACCUGUAUUUGGGGAGUUUCUCCCAUUCAUCUCUACAGAUCCUCUCAAGUUCCGUCGGGUGUUUUCUUGCGAACAUAUCCGAAAAGGAAGAUGGGUCUCUAAUGAAAUAUUCAACAUGGUGGAGGAAUGUUGGUGACCUGCAACACAACACAAGUCCCACAGGGAAACUACUGGGGUAGAUUGCUGAGAACAUCAACAGAUAUGUAUUUUUAGAUAGGCCUAAUCUCAUCUCCGUCUUUAGAGGCAUUAGGAAAAACCUUCAUCUGAAUCAUUUUGUUGCACUAAGAAACAAGGAAAUAGUGAAUGCGUUGAUCGAUAUCUUCAUCAAAUGUGGUAUGCUAUUCUAAGCUCUAGUAUAUUCUCUAUCAACAUUCAAGUAUCAAUGAAGCAUGGAUGGAUUUAUAAAAUGUCAAUAGCCAGUAAUGAAAUGAGAAUCCAUUCUCGGUAACAGGACAGUGCAAAAAAAUAUGACUAUUUACAAUUAUUUAGCAAAUUAAGAAGAAGAUUUAUGAAAUGGAGAUGUAUUGCACAUAUCAUUUGAUUUGAAAUAGAUCCUUUCCUCCUCUGAGUCUUGUGCUUUCAUACAGUAGGUCUGUCUGAGACAUCAUGGAGGGUAACAACAGAAAACAGAGAGAAAGAUUAGAAGAAAGAUCCCCAGAGACGUCUCCUAUGACGGUUCCGGUAACCCAGCCACGCUCCUCAAUGUUCUCCUGCUGUUUGGGGAUGGCAUCUGAUGAACCUGUAGGCGACCCAGCUAGUAAUGUAACACAAGGCUCUAUUAUGAAGCAGCCCACCAGACAGUCUUAUGUCAACAACCCAGACACCAGCGGACGCAUAAUACGAUUGGAGAAUACUGAGCUGCAAAUGUUUCCCACUGGUGCCAUGAGGUCGAACAACACCCCACAACCAGGGCAACCAGAGCCUUCUAAUAAGAUGAAGAAUAAAAGAGGGGACCAAGAUGGAAGGAAGGAGCUCAACCAGGGGUCCAGUCAGAAGCAGAACCAGGAUCAAAAGAUCAAGUUUCUGAUCAAUGUGCCCAUGAGGGUCCCACUACUUAACAACAACCGACUGGACCAAAUCCAGUCACAGGUUCAAAGGUUACUGAAGUUGUUGGAGGAUACAGGAUUUAAGGAGGAAGAUGAGGAGCACCUGAAAGAUGUGGCCAUCAUCAUUGGCCUCAAUGGCAAAGAUUCUCCUGAGCUCAGGGGACAGCUGACAAUGCUGAUGAACAUGGAGGAGAAUACGGUAUUGAAGUUUAAAAAGAUUUCAUUUACCUGGGGACCCAAUGGUAACAUUAAAUAUGUAGACAGUAUAAAUAAAAUAAAAGGUAUACCAUAUACGGAUAUCAGAGAAUAUCUAAAAGAUCAUGAAGAAACUAAACAGCUUGUUAGAGAGUUGAGAGGAGAGGAUCCUGACGCUCUGAUCUAUUUCAGUUUUAUUGACGCUGAUACUGUAAACUUUAACCAAGUUUACAGCUCUUAUUUAGAGAUAGUCAGAAAGCACUCUAACACUCACUCUGGCAUCCCCCCAACGGUGAUGUCAACAGGCUAUGAGUUUCCGGACAGGGCUUUUAAGAGGCCAAGCCAGGUUGACAGAGCAAUUCGAGUUGAGACAGCAAAACACUUUCCUCUAGGCACAUACUAUCCAGAGCCCAACUUCUGUGUUUUACUCCUAAAGGGGGAGGACACACUAACAGAGAGCUUUCUUGGAAAAGACAAAACAAUGGAGUCGCCAAAAAUUAUCAAAAAAGUUAAGGAGCGUGAACAAUUCACAGCAGUCUUUACCGCUGACAAUCCCAUAAUUACCUCUGUUCCAGCAAGGUGUCAAAUAAAUAAGGAUGGCCUGACAACUGCUCAAUCACAUUUUAAUCCUAGAGUUUGGGCAACAAGUGCAUACAUCCAUGGUGAGAUAAAGAGUGAACUAAAGGGCCAAGGAAGUUUUGGUAAAACAAGACGAUUAUUGAUGGAACUGUUGACUUGUCCAGAUGAGAAAUUUGAGGACAAGUGUAAAGAACUUCCUGUGGUAAAUGAUGAUGCAUUUCUGAGCCUGUGUAAGGCAGCUGGUGAGGUCCGAGAAUACAGAAAGAAAGUGAGGGGGUAUGCGAACCAACAGGAUAAGAGGAGUCCGGCAGAGAGCAGAGCAAAACAACCAGAGAUGUAACGCAUACCAAUUCAUGGCACUUCUAAAGCCUAGACUUAUGUUGACAUAAAAAUCUGUAGCCUUACUUUUGUUACGACUUUUAUUUUGCCGUAAUGUAUUGAGACACUGUUUGUAGCCUGGGGACUUUUAUUUUGAAAGCGAUAAUAUUCCCAGAGGCACCUUUGAGAGAGUGUGGAGAAAAAGACACAGAGUGGAUGUUGAUGACUGCGUGGCUGUAUGUCUUGGUCCAGAGUAAUUCAACUACACGUAACAGUUUUCCUUUGUAGCCCGUGUGUUAUUUUUACUGCCAAUCCACAAGUCCUCUGUUGGAGGUAGUGUUUAAUACCUAAAAGUAGAAAUAAGAGUUAUUCCACAAGUCCUCUGUUGGAGGUAGUGUUUAAUACCUACAAGUAGAAGUAAGAGUUAUUCCACAAGUCCUCUGUUGGAGGUAGUGUUUAAUACCUACAAGUUAAAAUAAGAGUUAUACAAAUCUAUCCAAUCCACAAGUCCUCUGUUGGAGGUAGUGUUUAAUACCUACAAGUUAAAAUAAGAGUUAUACAAAUCUAUCCAAUCCACAAGUCCUCUGUUGGAGGUAGUGUUUAAUACCUACAAGUAGAAAUAAGAGUUAUACAAAUCUAUCCAAUCCACAAGUCCUCUGUUGGAGGUAGUGUUUAAUACCUACAAGCAGAAAUAAGGGUUAUACAAAUCUAUCCAAUCCACAAGUCCUCUGUUGGAGGUAGUGUUUAAUACCUACAAGUAGAAAUAAGAGUUAUACAAAUCUAUCCAAUCCACAAGUCCUCUGUUGGAGGUCGUGUUUAAUACCUACAAGUAGAAAUAAGAGUUAUUCCACAAGACCUCUGUUGGAGGUCGUGUUUAAUACCUACAAGUAGAAGUAAGAGUUAUUCCACAAGUCCUCUGUUGGAGGUAGUGUUUAAUACCUACAAGUAGAAAUAAGGGUUAUACAAAUCUAUCCAAUCCACAAGUCCUCUGUUGGAGGUAGUGUUUAAUACCUACAAGUAGAAAUAAGAGUUAUACAAAUCUAUCCAAUCCACAAGUCCUCUGUUGGAGGUAGUGUUUAAUACCUACAAGUAGAAAUAAGAGUUAUUCCACAAGUCCUCUGUUGGAGGUAGUGUUUAAUACCUACAAGUAGAAAUAAGAGUUAUACAAAUCUAUCCAAUCCACAAGUCCUCUGUUGGAGGUAAUGUUUAAUACCUACAAGUAGAAAUAAGAGUUAUACAAAUCUAUCCAAUCCAGAAUAAGAAUGUCAUUUCCAAACAAGACAUAAACUCAAAUGUUGCUAAAUGACCUGGAUGAAUCUCUAGUCGUACACAACUAUGGGUGUAACCAUUUGUGCCAGAAUACUCACCAGACAUCAGCUUUAAUGGUGUAGAGGUGAGGAGUGAAAUACAGUAUAAAACAAUUAGGAAUUGACGGGUAUAAUAAGUUAUUCAUGAAACAAAGGUUAAAUCACUUACAGUUACAAUAAGUGCCAUGGAAGUUUAAUGACCACAGUCAGGACAUCUGUUUAAUGUCCCAUCUGAAAGGCUGCACCUAAUGCAGGGCAAUGUCCCUGUCACUGCCCCUGGGCAUUGGGAACUCCUUAGACCAGAGGGAAGAGUGCCCCCUACUGGCCCUCCAACACCACUUCCAGCCUACUGUAUACAUAUUAGUUGUGUCCUAUAUAAUUGCUCCAUUCAACACAUAGCACUAAAGAGCGAUUGAAACACACUACAGUGUGAUUGAAAUGUACAUUUCCAAUUGAGUGGAUAUAUGCAGCCUUUACCGUGAACACAGUCUCCACAAACAUGGGAACAUGGCUGUUUUCCAUUUGAACAUGCAUGUAGGGUAGAUAGGGUUUGAUGGAGGAGUAGAGACACUUGUCUGACUGUGACUGCAUGACUGCUCUUCAGGCUGUGAUGAGAUUCAUAUGUACUUUAUCACUGAAUACUUUGUUGUGAACCUUUUCGUUUUAAUCAUAAGUAAUAUUAAUAAAGAGUUGUUGAUAUAAUACAGUGAUAUAUAGCAUGAAUGGAAAACACCUUUUAGUUUGAACUAAUCAUAAUGCCAGGCCAGAACUAACCAUUUUAUAAAACUAUAGAAAGAUAUCCUAUGUAAUGGUAACACUUGUGGUUAAGUACUGUAACAAUAUGUACCUACACUGUCAUUUUAUAACCAUCACAUGUAUGUUCUAACUAUCAUUAUAACCAUCACAUGUAUGUUCUAUCAUUAUUGUCACGCCCUGGUCUUAGUAUUUUGUGUUUUUCUUAUUUAUUUGGUCAGGCCAGGGUGUGACAUGGGUUUAUUUUGUGUUGUGUUUAUGUAUAGGGUUUUUUUCGUAGGUAUUGGGAUUGUGGCUGAGUAGGGGUGUCUAGCAUAGUCUAUGGCUGCCUGAGGCGGUUCUCAAUCAGAGUCAGGUGAUUCUCGUUGUCUCUGAUUGGGAACCAUAUUUAGGUAGCCUGGGUUUCACUGUGUGUUUUGUGGGUGAUUGUUCCUGUCUCAGUGUGUUGGUAUUCACCAGACAGGCUGUAUAGGUUUUCACAUUUCCGUUUGUUGUUUUUGUAUUGUUCGUUUUCAUCGUUAUUAAAGAUGUCUCGAUUUAACCACGCUGCAUUUUGGUCCGACUCUCCUUCGACGGAAGCCGUAACAAUUAUAACCAUCACAUGUAUGUUCUAACUAUCAUUAUAACCAUCACAUGUAGGUUCUAUCAUUAUAACCAUCACAUGUAUGUUCUAUCAUUAUAACCAUCACAUGUAUGUUCUAUCAUUAUAACCAUCACAUGUAUGUUCUAUCAUUAUAACCAUCACAUGUAUGUUCUAUCAUUAUAACCAUCACAUGCAUGUUCUAACUAUCAUUAUAACCAUCACAUGUAUGUUCUAUCAUUAUAACCAUCACAUGUAUGUUCUAACUAUCAUUAUAACCAUCACAUAUUAUGAUCAGUAAUCACAUAAUUAAGUUUUGACAUUUGAUUUGAUGAUUUCACUAUAUGUGUCUAUGUCAGUUUUUGCCUGCCUCAUAAUAAACAGAUGGUAAAUCCAA